GCCGCCGCGCGCCCGGGCCGCUCCGGGAGCCCGCGAGGAGGGGGGGCGCGGCCCGCCCCGCGGCCACGUGCGCGGAAACCCGCGGCGGGGGCGCCCGGCCCGGGGCUGCGGCUCCGCCCUCCCGCGAGACCCCAGACUCCCCUCGGGCGCCCUGUGUGUGUCGGGGGGGUACUCCCGCCGGCGCGGGGCACCGCGCGUCUCUCCCCCGCCGCCCCGUGACUUCCUGCCUCCACCUGGAGCCCGAGGCCCGAGGGCAGUUAACCAGAACUAGAGACACGCCACCAAGAAAUCGGCUUGGACCCCCCCCCCGCCCCCAGCUCCCGCCGGUGGCUCUUUCUGAAGUGUUUCUGGGCCCCAAGGGUUGCUGUUACCGGCUGUUCGUUUCUUCCUUGCUUUGCAGAGUAAAGGGGAUCAUUACCCCCACCGACAGCGCCAGAGCACCUGGUUUGCCCUGGCAUAAGCAGAAGAAAAUCUACUCACUCUGAGUGAAGCCGGAAGUCCAAGAUCCAGGUGCGGGAAGAUUCGGUGUCUGGUGAGAACCCUUUGCUCUGUUUGCAGAUGGUUGUCUUUGCAUCGUAUCCUCACAUGGCUGAGAGAGAAAGCUCUACUCUUUCUCUUCUUCUAAGGACAAUAGUUUCAUCAUGGGGGCUCCACCCUCAUCACCUCAUCUUAACCUAAUCACCUCCCAAAGGCCCCACCUCCUAAUACCAUCCCUUUAACCAAACUCUUAGUUUAAUGUCAAGUUUUUACCCUUGACUCAAAUUGAUUAGAAAGAGUCCCCCUCCACCCUCAUACUGAGGCCAUUAGACCAGCAAGAUCCUUGCCUAUUAGCUGCCUGGCUGGAAGAUGCAAGUUUCUCCCUGGUAUUUGCUAGCGAUCAAUAUGCUGACUUUUUGCCAUUCUCUUUUUUUUAAUAAACUUUAUACUUUUUGAUCCACACAUUGCUCUUUAAUUUAUCUUAAUUUAUAGAUGACCUCUGGCAGAAUGAAUUCUAGGAGAAAUUAAAGAGAUAUUCAGAACACUUUAAAUGAGAAUAAAAGAACAUCUCUAAAAGCAUUUUCUGUACAAAUAAAAUGUUGCAUGUUCAACAGAAUCUUAAGUUCAUAAAGAGUCUUAAUCAUUUUUCUUCCUUAAUGAUGUGCCUGUAUCAUAUCACACAUUGUUUAGUGAGCCUCAGAUCUACUUUAAGGCCUCUAUUGAAAAUAGUUGCGCAUAGAAAAAAGCCAGUCCAUUACUUUUUGCUCUCCUAUUUAAGAGAGAAGUUUGGGUGGAGAAAUAGUCUUUUAGAAUAAACUUACCUUUAGGAUAAGGUAGGCCAUAAACUAAUAAAAGAUAAUAUUCUGCAUUUACCACAUGUAAAAAAAAAAUUCUGAUAUGUGCAUAUGUGUUAUAUUUUUCAUUAAAUUUUUAUCUUUAAAGCUUAGGCUUGUAUUAUUUCAUUGCAUGUAGCAGCUCAUGUGUUAUCUCUGUAUUACUAUUUUAUAGAUAAGAAAACUGAGAUGCAUGCAGUUUUCAUCACUGGAAAAAAAGUCUCCUGACUCACCCAAUCAGUAUCCAUCCACAUCAGUUGCCUAUUCAGAGGGGAAAAUGGUGUCCAAGAAACCACAUUUUUAAUGAAAUUAAAAAUUUUUUUUUAAUAACUUAUUUUUUCUUUUUCUUUUUGGCCAUGCCUUGCGACAUGCGGGAUCUUCCCUGACCAGGGAUCCAACCUGUGGCCCCUGCAGUGGAAGCGUGGAGUCUUAACCACUGGAGAAUGAGGAAAGUCCAAAAUUUAAAUUUCUAACAUAUAUUUCCUAUAAGAAAUAUAAAUAAGGUUCUCUUUCAGUUGGAAGUAUUUUUUCUGAAAUGGUCAUCUUUAAAAAGUGAGUGUGCUGUAAUUACAGCUAAAACUCAGCUGUCACGCACUGCUUAAUCAUCAGAAAUGGUGAAUGUGCAGGUGUUCAAGAAAUUUAAAAAAUUGUAUGGAACUUGACUAAACUGAGGAUUUUAAAUGUUAAAAUCUCAAUUUAUUUCUCUGUUUAUACAGUUGGCCUGUGGAAAGAGAACAGUAAUCAUAGUUGGAAACAUUAAUGGGUCAGGCUCUUACACUACCUCCUUUCGUAUAAGAAUCUGUCACCUGAAUAGCGCUUGCAUUUGGCAGAUUCUGCUAAUACUUCUUUUAUCUUAAAAAAGACAGACUGGGCACUAGUUGCAUACUUAGCCUAUUGAUUCUCCAGCAGUGGGCCAUAGCUCCCCAACUGCGAUGCCAGAAGAUGGCCUAGGGGAUCACAAGGUCUGUUACCUGUUUUUGCCCCUUUAUCCUCCCCCAUUUAUAAUAAAUUGUCUUAUACAUUUCACUACAUACAUUUAGAACCACACCAGACUAUUUUAGUAUUUGCUUCCACCAUCAGACAUAAUAUAAAGCAGCUCAUUACUGCAGGUGGGAGUGCAAGUCCAGGCUCCCCUGGUGAGGCUUCAGGACUGACUUUUGGGGAUGAGAGUCCUGCUCCCUGCUGUGCCUUCUCUGACGUCACCCAGAAGCGUGACGUUAGCUACUUGUGUGAUGGUGGGCAAGUCACUUGUCUAAGCCUGCUUCUUCAUUUCUGAAAUUUACCAUACCUUCAGAAAUGGAAGUGGCAUAGUCGUUAAAGAGCGUAGGGCCUGGAUCCAGACAGUGGGCUAGAGUCACGACUCUGCUGUUUCCUACAUCUGUGACCUUGGGCAAAUGACCGCUUUGUGCCUCAGUCUCCUCUCCUGUUGUAAAAGUCAGCUGCUCCGCGGCAUGUGGGAUCUUCCUGGAGCCGGGAUUGAACUCAUGUCCUCUGCAUUGGCAGGCGGAUUCCCAACCACUGCGCCACCUAGGAAGCCCAUUGAGAGCCCGUGCUGAGCACAGAUCAACACAGACACAUCGAUGGAGCUGGUUGAGUCUGAAGCAUCCUUUCACCUGCUUCCCAUCCCCUUUGAUCUAGGCCGCUACUGGGGAGAUUAGUCAAACUGCUGUAAACUCAGUAUGAUUCAGCAAGACUCCAAGAGGUCUAUACAGCUUAUAUGAUUUCCAGACCAGUUCUUAAUCUUUCUCUGUUCCUAAACAUAUGAGGUUGCUUGUUGCAACAGUGACUUUUCAAGAGGAGGCCAUGCUUACCUGGGAGAGAGGUGACUUUGAAAAAGUCUCCAGUUAACUGCUUCUACAUUGUGAAUUAAUUUAGGAUCAUUCUAAGGUAAGCAAAGGAGAACACUACAAUAUAUUUUAAAUUCUGAACAGUGAGAGCUAUGUAAGCUUUUCUGAAUAGAAAUUAUUAGGAAUUAUGAUAGAUUUCAUAUUAUUAUAAAUCUUAGCGAUCUUUACAUUUUUGGACAUACGUACAGAUGCCAGUUAAAAAUUGGCUGUGAAUGGAUUAUGGACAUUUGGAGUAAAAACAACUAAUCUCUCACUUAGCUUUGCAGAGUGGUUUAUAGAUAGUCAAAACUCACUGAGUAAUGAAAUAAUACAAUACUAAAAAAAUGGUAUUACAAACAAAAGUUUAUCUCAAGACUAUUCACCUUGCUUCUGUUCUGAAAUCACCAUGAUCCUGUCCAUUGUACAAGUUUUGCUGAAUUUCUUAGGCAAGCCAGUAGGCCUAAUGGAGAUUCUAAGAACAGACUGAAAAAAUACAGAAGGCAGAAAGCCAGCUGGAGAAGGGUGGCAGGGAUUAGUAGGCAAUACUGUCUAUGAAAUUGCCUCUCUGAGUCAGGACAGCUGAACUGGGGUGACAGUAAAGCCAGCUGACUUCACUGGACAACUGUAUGAUCUGACGUCUUCCCCCACUUAAGAUCAGCUGUAAUGUUAACAAUAUACUCACCUUCAAUU